rnacentral:rRNA from 1 species
UACGUAGGGUCCAAGCGUUGUCCGGAGUUACUGGGCGUAAAGCGCGCGCAGGUGGUCCACUAAGCCCGGCGUGAAAGCCCCCGGCUCAACCGGGGAGGGUCGUCGGGGACUGGUGGACUUGAGGGCGGCAGGGGCUGGUGGAAUCCCCGGUGUAGUGGUGAAAUGCGUAGAGAUCGGGGGGAACACCCGUGGCGAAGGCGGCCAGCUGGGCCGUCCCUGACACGUGAGGCGCGAAGGCGUGGGGAGCGAACGGG